GCUGGCGGCAUGCCUUACACAUGCAAGUCGAACGGUAACAGGUCUUCGGAUGCUGACGAGUGGCGAACGGGUGAGUAAUACAUCGGAACGUGCCCGAGAGUGGGGGAUAACGAAGCGAAAGCUUUGCUAAUACCGCAUACGAUCUCAGGAUGAAAGCAGGGGACCGCAAGGCCUUGCGCUCACGGAGCGGCCGAUGGCAGAUUAGGUAGUUGGUGGGAUAAAAGCUUACCAAGCCGACGAUCUGUAGCUGGUCUGAGAGGACGACCAGCCACACUGGGACUGAGACACGGCCCAGACUCCUACGGGAGGCAGCAGUGGGGAAUUUUGGACAAUGGGCGCAAGCCUGAUCCAGCCAUGCCGCGUGCAGGAUGAAGGCCUUCGGGUUGUAAACUGCUUUUGUACGGAACGAAAAGACUCUGGUUAAUACCUGGGGUCCAUGACGGUACCGUAAGAAUAAGCACCGGCUAACUACGUGCCAGCAGCCGCGGCAAUACGUAGGGUGCGAGCGUUAAUCGGAAUUACUGGGCGUAAAGCGUGCGCAGGCGGUUAUGUAAGACAGAUGUGAAAUCCCCGGGCUCAACCUGGGAACUGCAUUUGUGACUGCGUAGCUAGAGUACGGCAGAGGGGGAUGGAAUUCCGCGUGUAGCAGUGAAAUGCGUAGAUAUGCGGAGGAACACCGAUGGCGAAGGCAAUCCCCUGGGCCUGUACUGACGCUCAUGCACGAAA
rnacentral:rRNA from 1 species